CCCAGAUCGUUUACCGUGAAAAAAUUAGAGUGUUCAAAGCAGGCAGAUCCAAUUUUCUGCCACCGAAUACAUUAGCAUGGGAUAAUGGAAUAGGACCCUGUCCUCCUAUUUUCAGUUGGUUUUGGCAGCGCGAGGACUAGGGUAAUGAUUAAUAGGGAUAGUUGGGGGCAUUAAUAUUUAAUUGUCAGAGGUGAAAUUCUUGGAUUUAUGAAAGAUUAACUUCUGCGAAAGCAUCUGCCAAGGAUGUUUUCAUUAAUCAAGAACGAAAGUUAGGGGAUCGAAGACGAUCAGAUACCGUCGUAGUCUUAACUCAUUAAUCCGACCAGCGAUUAGGAGACGUUGAAUACAAAACACCACCAUCGGUUGCGGUCGUCCUUGGCGUCUCGGUUUCGGCCGGGGCGCGGGGAUGGCUUAGCCCGGUGGCACCGGUGAAUGACUCCCUAGCAGCUUGUGAGAA
rnacentral:rRNA from 1 species